AUUGAACGCUGGCGGCAGGCCUAACACAUGCAAGUCGAACGGUAACAGGAAACAGCUUGCUGUUUCGCUGACGAGUGGCGGACGGGUGAGUAAUGUCUGGGAAACUGCCUGAUGGAGUGGGUUAACUACUGGAAACGGUAGCUAAUACCGCAUAACGUCGCAAGACCAAAGUGGGGGACCUUCGUGCCUCUUGCCCUCUGAUGUGCCCCGAUGGGAUUAGCUAGUAGGUGGGGUAACGGCUCACCUAGGCGACGAUCCCUAGCUGGUAUGAGAGGAUGACCAGCCACACUGGAACUGAGACACGGUCCAGAAUCCUACGGGAGGCAGCAGUGGGGAAUAUUGCACAAUGGGCGCAAGCCUGAUGCAGCCAUGCCGCGUGUAUGAAGAAGGCCUUCGGGUUGUAAAGUACUUUCAGCGGGGAUGAAGGGAGUAAAGUUAAUACCUUAGCUCAUUGACGUUACCAGCAGAAGAAGCUCCGGCUAACUCCGUG
rnacentral:rRNA from 1 species